AAAUUUUUUCAAAUUACAAUUAUUUUUUUCAUAAAAAAAAUGAAUAUAUUAUUCCUUUUCAGUUUGGCGUUAAUGAUAUUCGUUUCGAUGGCGCAUAGGCGUGGUGGAGGCGGAUUCGGUGGACGUAGAGGAGGUCAUGGAUUUGGUGGACGAGGAAGGUUUGGCGGGCGAGGUGGAUUUGGCGGGCGAGGAUUUGGUGGACGAGGUGGAUUUGGCGGAAGGGGUGGAUGUGUCGGACCACGUGGAGGAGGUGGUAGAGUUGGCUCUGGUCUUGGUUAAACGUCACUUCAUCUUAACGCCCUAUAAAUGACGAAUAUACUGAUCAUAAAUGAAAACCUAACAAUUACAAUUCAAAUCAGAAAUAUUCAAAACCUUUUCAAGAUUUUUUUAAUUUUUUAUAUUAUAAUAUUAGUUAAAAAUAUUUUAUAUACAAAUCAAAUUAUAUUUCCG